rnacentral:piRNA from 1 species
UACUGGCACACAAAUUCCACAGUUGCUGGAGU